GACGAACGCUGGCGGCGUGCUUAACACAUGCAAGUCGAACGGAAAGGCCCUUCUUUUGUUGGGUGCUCGAGUGGCGAACGGGUGAGUAACACGUGAGUAGCCUGCCCUUGACUUUGGGAUAACUUCAGGAAACUGUGGCUAAUACCGGAUAGGAGCUCCUGCUGCAUGGUGGUGGUUGGAAAGUUUCGGCGGUUGUGGAUGGACUGGCGGCUUAUCAGCUUGUUGGUGGGGUAGUGGCUUACCAAGGCUUUGACGGGUAGCCGGCCUGAGAGGGUGACCGGCCAAAUUGGGACUGAGAUACGGCCCAGCCUCCUACGGGAGGAAGCAGUGGGGAAUAUUGCACAAUGGGCGGAAGCCUGAUGAAGCAACGCCGCGUGCGGGAUGACGGCCUUCGGGUUGUAAACCGCUUUAGCCUGUGACGAAGCGUGAGUGACGGUAAUGGGUAAAGAAGCACCGGCUAACUACGUG
rnacentral:rRNA from 1 species